CCCAUAUAUUGUCCAUCGAUCAUUGAACAUCAUUUCAUAUUCUUCUUCAAUCUUAUAAUAUUUGUCUGAUCAAAUUCUACGCCAAAAUCUUGGUAUUAUAGUUAUAAAUAUUAUGGCUUGGUGCGAAUGGACUUUUCACAUGAAUAGAUAUUGAAGAAGUCUGUGAUAAUGAUGCAGUUCAAGAUUUGGCUGUGGAAAUCAGAGGAUUACCCUCUUAGUGACAUAUAUUAUACAAUGUAAAACUCUAAAUAAUUAGAUAAUAUAAUAAGGAUAUAAUUUCUUCCA